rnacentral:rRNA from 1 species
GAUGAACGCUGGCGGCGUGCCUAAUACAUGCAAGUCGAGCGAACGGACGAGAAGCUUGCUUCUCUGAUGUUAGCGGCGGACGGGUGAGUAACACGUGGAUAACCUACCUAUAAGACUGGGAUAACUUCGGGAAACCGGAGCUAAUACCGGAUAAUAUUUUGAACCGCAUGGUUCAAAAGUGAAAGACGGUCUUGCUGUCACUUAUAGAUGGAUCCGCGCUGCAUUAGCUAGUUGGUAAGGUAACGGCUUACCAAGGCAACGAUGCAUAGCCGACCUGAGAGGGUGAUCGGCCACACUGGAACUGAGACACGGUCCAGACUCCUACGGGAGGCAGCAGUAGGGAAUCUUCCGCAAUGGGCGAAAGCCUGACGGAGCAACGCCGCGUGAGUGAUGAAGGUCUUCGGAUCGUAAAACUCUGUUAUUAGGGAAGAACAUAUGUGUAAGUAACUGUGCACAUCUAGACGGUACCUAAUCAGAAAGCCACGGCUAACUACG